GGCUCGAUAGCGGAUGGUCCGCACCUGCUACACUUGAGUACUCAACCAUGAGGAUUAAUGUCCAUGCAGGAGUUGCCCGUUCGACCCGGGCUCGAGCCA